rnacentral:rRNA from 1 species
UGAAUACGAGACGCUAAGGCGUCGAAGUAGUGUAUGUCAUACUUCCAAGAAAAGCUUGCACUGUCAUAGAUAAAAAACGCCUGUACCAUAACCGACACAGGUGGGUAGGUAGAGUAUACUAAGGGGCGCGAGAUAACUCUCUCUAAGGAACUCGGCAAAAUAACUCCGUAACUUCGGGAGAAGGAGUGCCUUAUUCGUAAGGUUGCAAUAACAAGAUCCAAGCAACUGUUUAUCAAAAACACAGGUCUCCGCUAAGUCGUAAGACGAUGUAUGGGGGCUGACCCCUGCCCAGUGCCAGAAGGUUAAAGAAGUUGGUUAGCAAUUGCGAAGCUGACAACUGAAGCCCUGGUGAACGGCGGCCGUAACGAUAACGGUCCUAAGGUAGCGAAAUUCCUUGUCGGGUAAGUUCCGACCCGCACGAAAGGCGUAAUGAUUUGGAUACUGUCUCGGAGAGGGGCUCGGUGAAAUAGACUUGUCUGUGAAGAUGCGGACUACCUGCACCAGGACAGAAAGACCCUAUGAAGCUUUACUGUAACUUGAAAUUGAAAUUGGACUUUAUUCGCGCAGUAUAGGUGGGAGGCGUUGAUUAUAAUCUUGUGGGAUUAUUGGAGCCAUCAGUGAGAUACCACUCUUGUAAUGUUAGAUUUCUAACUUUGAAUCAUUAUCUGGUCAAGGAACAGUUUCAGGCGGGCAGUUUGACUGGGGCGGUCGCCUCCUAAACGGUAACGGAGGCGUACAAAGGUUUCCUCUGAACGGUUAGAAAUCGUAUCUAGAGUGUAAAGGCAUAAGGAAGCUUGACUGUGAGACCUACAAGUCGAGCAGGGACGAAAGUCGGUCUUAGUGAUCUGACGGUACUGAGUGGAAAGGCCGUCACUCAACGGAUAAAAGUUACUCUUAGGAUAACAGGCUGAUCUCCCCCAAGAGUUCACAUCGACGGGGAGGUUUGGCACCUCGAUGUCGGCUCAUCGCAUCCUGGGGCGGUAGUACGUCCCAAGGGUUGGGCUGUUCGCCCAUGAAAGCGGUACGCGAGCUGGGUUCAGAACGUCGUGAGACAGUUCGGUCCAUAUCCGGUGUAGGCGUUAGAAUAUUGAGAGGAGCCUUCUUUAGUACGAGAGGACCGAGAAGGACAUACCUCUGGUGUACCAGUUAUCGUGCCAACGGUAAACGCUGGGUAGCUAUGUAUGGAGUGGAUAACCGCUGAAAGCAUCU